rnacentral:rRNA from 1 species
AGGACGAACGCUGGCGGCGUGCUUAACACAUGCAAGUCGAGCGGUGAUCCUCCUUCGGGAGGUGAUCAGCGGCGAACGGGUGAGUAACACGUGGGCAACCUGCCCCUCACACUGGGAUAACCUCGGGAAACCGGGGCUAAUACCGGAUACGACCUCGAGCGGCAUCUCUUGAGGUGGGAAGCUCCGACGGUGAGGGAUGGGCCCGCGGCCUAUCAGCUUGUUGGUGGGGUAAUGGCCUACCAAGGCGACGACGGGUAGCCGGCCUGAGAGGGCGACCGGCCACACUGGGACUGAGACACGGCCCAGACUCCUACGGGAGGCAGCAGUGGGGAAUAUUGCGCAAUGGGCGAAAGCCUGACGCAGCGACGCCGCGUGAGGGAUGAAGGCCUUCGGGUUGUAAACCUCUUUCAGCAGGGACGAAGCGAAAGUGACGGUACCUGCAGAAGAAGCACCGGCUAACUACGCGCCAGCAGCCGCGGUAA